rnacentral:rRNA from 1 species
CCUACGGGAGGCAGCAGUGAGGAAUAUUGGUCAAUGGACGAGAGUCUGAACCAGCCAAGUAGCGUGAAGGAUGACUGCCCUAUGGGUUGUAAACUUCUUUUAUAUGGGAAUAAAAUGUUCCACGUGUGGGAUUUUGUAUGUACCAUAUGAAUAAGGAUCGGCUAACUCCGUGCCAGCAGCCGCGGUAAUACGGAGGAUCCGAGCGUUAUCCGGAUUUAUUGGGUUUAAAGGGAGCGUAGGUGGAUUGUUAAGUCAGUUGUGAAAGUUUGCGGCUCAACCGUAAAAUUGCAGUUGAAACUGGCAGUCUUGAGUACAGUAGAGGUGGGCGGAAUUCGUGGUGUAGCGGUGAAAUGCUUAGAUAUCACGAAGAACUCCGAUUGCGAAGGCAGUUCACUGGACUGCAACUGACGCUGAGGCUCGAAAGUGUGGGUAUCAAACAGGAUUAGAUACCCCUGUAGUC